UACGUAGGGUGCGAGCGUUAAUCGGAAUUACUGGGCGUAAAGCGAGCGCAGACGGUUACUUAAGCAGGAUGUGAAUCCCCGGGCUCAACCUGGGAACUGCGUUCUGAACUGGGUGACUAGAGUGUGUCAGAGGGAGGUAGAAUUCCACGUGUAGCAGUGAAAUGCGUAGAGAUGUGGAGGAAUACCGAUGGCGAAGGCAGCCUCCUGGGAU
rnacentral:rRNA from 1 species